rnacentral:lncRNA from 1 species
GAUAUGUCCAGUGCUACGGCGGCUCCCACUAUCCCCAAUUUCAAUUUGUACACAAACAACCAACUGAUAGCCGUGUGAAUCGCCAGCACCGCUAGUGAAAUCCAGGCGAUUACCGCCGUCUUCAGCUGGCUCUGUAGAAACCUCUGUAUCGUAAAUUGAAAAGCAAAGCUGAAUUGCAGUGGUAUAAACCACAACGCAACCACCCCUGAAAGCUCUGCGACGUCGUUUGGUUGACCUAGUGCUUUUAAAAUAGGGGUAGCGAAUAUGUACAUGGGAAGGAGAAGGAUACAACAGAUUGUGAUAACGAUCCAUGAUCUCUGCAUGUAUAUUCCUAUCAUAUGAUGCUUUUUGGCUCCGUAAGCUUGUCCGCAUAACGUUUCUAAUGCACUCGCCAUUCCUAACUACAUUAUUUAAAAAAAAAAUAUAUAUUUAUUAAAGGUGAGAUUUUAACAUGCACAUUUAAAUAUGUAUGGUAGAUUAGGUGAUAAAUUUUUUAUAUAUUAUUGAAAUAAUUAGUUAGUUUAUAAAAUUCAUAUAUAUAAAGAGAGAUUUACGAUAUGCCUUUUUUGAGAUGCUUGUGAGUUUUUAUUUUGUCAAACCUUGCAAAUAAUCACAUGAAAUAAGUUAAGCUUUGUUCUAAAGAAAAAAAAGUCAUGGAAUUAAAUUUAUGAGUAAUUUAAUUUUUUGAUUAGUAGAUGUAAUAUUAACACCAGAAUUACAUAAGUAUUUAAUGAAAAAUUUAAAAUAUAAAUAGAGAAGUGCAAUAAUAAUUAAUUAUCUAAUCUCUAUUCUCUACUAUGUUAAUAUCUAACUAAAAAUUCAGAAUCUUAAUAUCUAAAAGAAGAGGAGAGGAGAAGACGUGUUUUUAGUUCUAGAUUUGGAUUAUUAAAUUAAUAGAUCUCUUAACCUAGAAAAUUAAUAAGUGUUCUAUAUCCAGCCAUGCGUUGAGAGAGUUCGUCUGUGAACUUGAAUCACUAUCGAAGACUCAAGUACUGAUGUCAAACUUGCUCAAGAUAUAUGCUCACAUUUUUUUCAAGUGAUAAUUUUUUAAUGUAAUUUUAAUAAAUUUAUUUGUUCUAGCAUAAUCGUAUAUAUUUUUACAUAAACUUAUUUGUUAUCUUGUAUGUUUCUGGAUUGCUUCCUUUGUGGCUUGUGCAUUAUUUUCCAACGAAAACAACUUUUGAAUCAAUUUUUCUCAUAAUUUUCAUAUACAUUUUGUCCUAAAUUCUUAAAGGCGCAUACUAUUUUUUUUUUUUGAUGAAUGUGCAAGAUAAGGAAAAUAUUAAUAAGGAAUUUGAAAGAAGUUUAGGGAAUACAUACAAUGAGACCAAAGCUGAGGCCAACAAUGACAGUAUUAGAAAUAGAGAUAGCAGCAAGUUCAACUUCACCAAGGUGACCAGCAAAACCUUGAGUAAUAAUGUUCAUGCUGUAAGUCCCUAUACGGCUGAAGAUGGCUGGACCUACUAUGUGCCAUAAUUUUUUAGUUUCGAUCCAUACUCUUGUCUUCAGAUCUUCAUCAUCUUCAUCAUCCUCAUCCUCGCUUCUUUUAAUUUUAUUUUCUAGCAGCCAGUUGGCGGAGAUCACCUCCGCCAACAAUAAUGGUUGCCGAUUUUCAUCGAUAACAACACUUCCCAUUUGUAACACUAGAACUAAAAUUAGGCACUAGAAAGAAGUGAGUAUGUACCAAAUAGAGAGUUGCAUGGGAGGAUUUUUAUAGAAGAAUGAAAAGGGGAAUAUGAUGACAGCACAAGUUAAUUGUGUUUGGCCAAAAUUCGUAAAUUAUAUUCUUUUAACUUUAUCUCCCUGAAUUCACUAAUGUAAAAAAUUAUUCAUACCACCAAAAUUUACCUAAAGAAUAUUUACACGCAAUUCUUCUUUAACACUAAAAUAUGUAAUUUUUAAUUAUUUAAAUAUAUUAUUAUUUUAUCAGAGCACAAUUAAAUUUUGCGAGGACAUUAACAAUCCUCAAAGAAUAAUAAGAUCACACGUAUCAACUAAGUGUGGUGCAGGUACAUAUAAACUAUAACAAUCGUAUUGAUACAGACGAUAAUCUCUAAAAUUAUAUGUAAUGUCUAUAAGUUUUUUCUUCAAAUUUUCUUUUUACACCCCUUAGAUGUUUUCCUUAAUAUUAUCAAAUUACAUUAAAAAAACUAUUAAACUUGACCAAAAAACUGACAUUUUUAUUCACAUAUAACUCGUAAAAAGAAAACACAAUAACAUAAAAUCAAAACAAUUGAAUAAAUAAUAAAGAAGAGAUAUUAAUAUGUUUUAGAUGUUUUUCUGAUAUUGUAAUUGUAAGAUACUGUUAAAGAAUGACAAAAGUCUUACAUCGGUGAUUAAUGAGACGGGUGAACUCCUUAUAAGGCUUGAGCAAUCCUCCUCCUUUUGAGCUAGCUUUUGGGGUGUGAGUUAGGUCUAAGACCUAAUUUCACAUGGUAUCAGAGCAGGGCCCGUCUCACCCGAUGUUGGUGCCCCCCAAAAUCAAAAUCGCCCACGCACCAAAUGCUUAGCACAAAGCGUGAGGUGAGAUGUUAAAGAAUGACAAAAGUCUCACAUCGGUGGUUAAUGAGAUAGUGGAUUCCUUACAAAACUUGGACGAUUCUCCUCCCUUUGAAUUAGCUUUUGGGGUGUGAGUUAGAUCUUAGCACGUAUAUAUUAUACAACCAACAAUUUAUUGACAUUCAUCAUUCAAUCCAAAUAUUAUUUAUUUAAUCCUCAAUUUUCAUUGCCUUUUCAAAAAAAUUUAUUCAUUCUUUUUUACCUUUUAGGCUCAAGAUUGUAAAAUUACCGUAGUUUGUUUCUCAUUUACCCGCACUCACCUAUACUCUCACGCGUACAUUUCUUUGGCUGGCUGACCACUCCAAAAGGAAAAAUUUCAUAUAUAACAAACAUAAUUUAUUAAAUAACAUUAUAUGAGUGUAGUUUACAUAAUUACAUUAUAUGAAUAUAGUUUAAUUUAUUAUGUAUCUUUUAAUUUCUAUAAAAUAUCUUUUUAUUUUUAAAUGAUUUAAUAUUUUUCUUUUUUAUUAAAUGGUAACAAUAUCGCUAAAUAAGGUAACAAACAUUUUCAUUAUCCCAUUAUUUAAGCUAACCAAUUCAAAAUCAAAUAUUUUCUCAAUUUUGUUUAAAAAUAAGUCGUAUGAAACACUUAGACGUUAAUGAUUUUAUUUGUAUAUAUAUACAUUGAUUAUAUUGUAUAUAUUUGAGAAAUUUUAAAUAAUUUUUUAUACAGUUUCGCGUGUAAUUUAUUGUGUAUUAUUAAAUGUAUAUGUGAUCAUCAUAAUAUGAAAAUUGUAUAUGUGACAAUCAUAUAUAUAUUUUUUUUAACAAAAAAGUGUGUUGUACUUGUUCUUAAUUAUUUUCUGUAUUUUAUUUGUAUACAAUAUUUUAUUAUAUUCAUUUUUUUAUAGUAUGCAUCUACGGAUUUGUAUAAUAUACAAUAAUUUGGUAUAUGGAUUAUAUUUGUAUAUGUGCAUAUUAAUUUCAUGUUUUUUUUUUAUAAAAUUAAUGGUUAAAAUGAUUGUAUAAUAUUCAUUUGUCAAUUGUAUAUAUGGUAAGCUUGAAAUAUGUUUGUGUAUUUAGUGUGUAAUAUUUAUAUAUACAAUAUUUUAUCAUGUUCAUAAUUUUUUGUAUAUAUCGACGAAUUUGUAUAAUAUUCUAUAAUUUUAUAUAUGUAUUGUACAAUGAUUAACAAAUUUCUUUUAUACAAAACUAAAUAUUUGUAUACAAAUAACAACUGUCUCAUAAUACUUUGCAUAUAUUACCUUAAUACACAACCUAAUAGAUACAUAACUUAAGUAAUUUGUAUAUAAAUUACACAACAUGAUGUUCUUCAGAUUUGUCUAGUUCUGUCCAGUUUUGAUGAGAUAGAUCCAAUCUUGUCUUAAUUUAUGUUUUUGACUUUUCUCUUACUUCAACCUUCAACUAUCUUAAUACCGCUAGAUUUUGCGUUGUUGAUGACUUUCUGAAUUGUCAUUGGGUCAUUUUUUUCUUGAAUCUCUAUUCAAGAUAUUGUUCAACUUGAACUUGUUUAUGUUUUGUCAUAUACCCUACAUUGACCCCAAAAUCCUGAAAUAACCCAAUUGAAAACGAAGGUGGAUAAUCAACAAUAUUGACAUGCAAUGACAUACCUCUGGUAAUCUUCAUAUAUGGAGAUGAAUCAUUUAUUCUCAUUUUUGAAGAACUUUAAAGUGAUAAGAAAGAAAGAGUUUUUUUUUUAAAAAUUAUGAAAAAACUAAGAAACAUAAUACAUAUAUAAUUAUGUUGAUGAAGGAAAAAAAUUAAAAAAGAAUUGGAUUAAUGAAAGUAAAACAAUAGGGAUAUCGUGAAAUUUUUCAAAAUUCAAAAUUCAAAAUAGGAGUGUAGGAGAGAUAAAAUUAAUUUGAUAAAAUUAUAUAUAAAAAGAUUAAAAAAAAUUUAUGGUUGGGUAUACAAAGAUGUGGUGGGUCUAUUAAUUAUGGCAAAAAAAAUGAAACUAUAGUUAUUGAGAGUAAAUAAAUUACACUAUAUCCUUAUUGACUAAUUAGUUAGGGAUGUUUGCCAUUCCACGUAAUUGAAGUAAUAGCGAAAUUUGAGAUUUUUUAUUAGAGGUAUCUAAGAUAUAAUAUAUAUAAAUAUUAAAAAUGAUAUUUGAUCUAUAUAUUUCCUAUAAUUAUACACAUAAUAUAAUUUUUUAAUAAAAAAUAUUCGACUGGUCACACUAAACACGAUAGAUCACUAAAAGACAUCAAUAGAACAUACAUUCAUAUAUAGACAACAAACAUUGAGGGACACACCAUGCAUCUGGACACAAUAUUUUUAGAGAUUAACUUUGUUGCUCAUUAUUUCAAAUCAUGAUAACAUGAUUGCACUCACGUUUUAGGAAAGAAAAAAACAACACACACGGCACAAGAGCAGCAAAAAAGAGUGAGAAAAAAAAAAAACGCAGACAGAGACAAAUGAAGAAUUAAGUUGGAGAAUGACGUUUAAUUUGCGGUUUCGAGUUUGCAAUUUCUUAUUAUAGUCGUUUUCUCUUUGUGAACUAAUCUUCACAAAAAGUAAAUCGCAAUUUCCAUGUAUGAUUUGAUUUCAUGAUUAAAUUAUAAAUGAAAUAUACCUUUGAACUAUCGUAAAUGGUAUACAAAUAUUUUUCGUCAUAUUUUUGGGAUAUUGGUGCUUCUUUCAUCCAAAAACUAGAGCAUAUAUAUCCUUCACUCUAAUGCAAGACUUAAUAAAGACACGUAGACACAAUCUUAUCCAUUUAUCCGAUACUUAAUAAUGUCUGAUCGGUGGAUAAAAAUAUGACACGUGAAUGUAUGUUAGAGUGAAGGAUAUUUAUGCUCUAGUUUUUAGAUGUCAGGAGCACUAAUGUCUCAAAAGUAUGAUGGAAAGUAUCUACCUGUUAUUUACAAUUGUUGGGGAUAUAUUUACCCUUUUUCCUUAUAUAAAACAUGAUUUCAAUAUUGUAAAGUUUGCUCAAGUUAUAUAUAUACUUAACUCUAACAUUAUAAUGUUAGAAAUAUGUUUGAACCUUAUAUAUCAUUAAAUUUGCAGUAAAAUUGAUAUAAUAUAUGGUUAUAUCUUAUUUAUUUGAAAGUCAUUUCUAUCUUAAAUCUUUUACUCCUGAUUUUAUAUGAGCUGUAUAAAUUAGUGAACUCUUGAAUUUGAAUUUGGCUCAUUAUUAAAUUUGCAUUUCUAAUUUGAUGCAAUUUAGUUCACCGAAAAAUUUGGUGCCAAGUUAAAAGUAAAAUGUUUAAUUGUUCUUCGGUAAUUGUACUUGAUUAGCUCUAUAUGCUUUAAAUAAGUAUUAAUCUUGUGGUAUUAGAAUUAUUACUGGGAUCUUUUGAAGUGUAGAAACGAGAAAGAAUUAUGGCUCAAUUUUGUUAUUAUCAUGUUGUGGAGAACUACAAGAGUUUUGCGUAUGUUCAUUAACAAUUCAAUAGGCAAAUGUCAAGAUAUAUAGAGCUUUCAUUAUUAGGUAAGUAUAAAUUCGAUUAAAUCUUGUUUCGAUAAGAAUAUGAUUAUGCAUUUUUGCUGAUAUCUUUAAAAAUUUAAGAAUAUACGAGGUGACGUAUCUUGAUCAAAAUUGCUUUAGCAAUUAACUUUUGAUAAUUUGAAUUUUGAUGUGUAAAUAAAGAUUAUUAGGAGGGAUAUACUUAAACAAGAAGAUAAUUAUAUCUCUAAAUCAGUGUAUGUUAGAAUCAAGAAUGUGAUAAUGCAUUUAGAUUGAGACGAAUAAAAAUUCAAACAAUAAAAAUAUAAGUAAUUAGAUAUGAAAUGUAACACAUUUUAUCCAAAAUUAAAAUAAGACAAUGUAAGCGAUAAAGUGAUUGUGUUAAAACCACUUGACUCGAUGGGUGUCUUAUACCUUCCAUUAAUCAAUAAAAUUUCUUACUUGACCUUAUGUUUUUAAUUUGAGUACCCAAAUAAAAAGUCAUUUUCUUUUAAUUGAAAAUUCAAAAAAAAACUAUUUCAAAACCGAUAACCACUUUCACGUAAUGAAUCUAAAUACAUAAAAUAAUUUCUUGUCAAUACUAUUAGUUUAAUUGAAAAAACUCAAAAAUCUUUAUUUUCUCUCUUCUUAUCUUAAUUAAAAAAAAUCCUCCGUCUAUCCAGGAGGUUUUGGGAAGAAGGGGUGUGAUAGUGGUCACAUCAUUGCAAUUUAUCACCUUAUUUUCUAUCAAUAAAAUUUUGUCAAAACAGCAAUAGAAUUUGGUUUAUAAAUCAAAAUUUUUAAUUUUUAGUUAUGAUUUUUGAAUUAUUUUUACCUCUUUUAUUAAAAAUAAAAGAUAUUAUUUUUAUUUUAUUUAUACAAAACUAUAAAAAUACUUUUAAAAUUAAAUACUUAAAAUAAAUUAAUUCAAACUGAUUUUUAAUUUAAUGGAUCCCAGCAAAAGGACAUUACAUUGUGGGGUUUGUACAUAAGAUAUACAAACUUAGUCUACUCGUUGCGUCUCAAUUUUAGUUUGACAAGUACUUGACUAGGCAUCAAAUAUUUUUUCUAUUUUGUACUUUUAUAAUAAUUUAAAAUUACCAUACUAAAAAGACAUAAUUGUUCAAAUAAUAAAUAUUUCUCAUUUUCAAUUUUAUGAUUUCGAGUUUGAGUAAAAGAAAAAAUAAAAAGAUAAGAGCUCUAGAAAAGGAAUAAAAAAUAUUUUUUGAAGCAAGAAAAUACUAUAUUUAUUAGUCUUAACAUAUCAUUGUAAUUAUUAUGAGAAAAUAUUGCUAAAAAAUAUUAUUUUUUUCUUAAAGAAAAUCAAAUAUAAUAAUGUAAAAUGUAAAAGACAAAAGUAUGGGAUAAAAUUUAUCCGCAUCGCUGUAUCGAAUAUUUAUAUCAAAUCAAUAUAUACAUGUCAUGUAUUUAAAUUUAUAAUUUAUUUUGCUUUAUUAAAUCAUUAGUAGCAAGAUUGGACAGAAAAGUAGCAAAAUCGAUAAUGGCAACUACUCAAGGAAUUGGAUGCCAACUUUAUUUUUUGUAAAAAUUAUACAAAUCACAUAGUGUAAAAUAUAAAUUACAUUCUAUCCCUACUCUUUUAUAAAUUACAAAAAAUCCCAUAUUUUUAGUAAGUUUCAGAUACAUAUUAUGAUGUAUGAUACAUUAUAUUUGGUUUAGGUUUAACAGUGUAAUGCGUAAGGUGAGGAUUAAAAAUUGAAAUUUUUACUAAACCCCUAAAAGUCGCUAUCGUUACUAAUCCCCUAAAUUACGCCUUAAUUUAUUUGUUUCAAACAGUUUUAGUCAAUAUAAAAUACUAAGAGAAUUAGAAUUGUUUAUCUUUGUUUCUCCCAAAAAAGUUUCAGAAACGAGGUUUAUAAUUUUCUUUGAAGGCGAUUUUGUGAAGAUUCGUUAUGAAUAUUCCAAUCUUGUUAAGGCAUUCAGGAAUAUGAGAGAGUGAGGUUAGAUACGAGCGAUACAAAAGUGAUUGGAUAGUGAUUGGGGAAAAUAUUUUAUAUAUGAAUCUUAUUUCAGCCAUUGCAAUUGAAUUGAAUAUUGAUAAUUGAAAAAAAAAUGUUAUCAUCCGAUAUAUUAUAGAAGGUAAUUCAUCUCCGAUGAUAAUUAGGAAUGAUAUGGAAGUGAAGUUGUACGUAGAAAUAAACCUGUUGCAUUAGCCAAGCCGGACAAAAGUGAUUGGACAAUUCUGAAAAGUGUUUUGAAAGAGGUUGUCUUGCCACCAAGAUACAAAAAAAGGUCUGGUAGAUCAAGGAAAAAAGGAAAGAAAAAUGCAGAUGAAAAGCUAAUCGCAAACACAAAUUGUUGUGGACAAUUGGACAAGAAGGUUACAAUAGAAGAACAUAUACUUUUUUUUUAAAAAAAAUUCUUGAUGAUUAUGUUUUCGGAGUAUCAUGGAUAUUUCAUGUUUAAUAAUUCUCAAAGUGUAGCAUUUGUUACCACUGUUACACAGAGAUUUUGGUACAAUAAAUUGAAUUGAAACGUUUAUCAAUAUGUUCUAAAAUUUUUAUUUGUUAAAAGUUGUCAAAAGUUAAUUUUAUAUUUAUGUAUCUGAUACUUUAAUUUUUAUAACGUUUACAUCCAAAAUUUAAUUUGUGUUAAUUGCUGAGAUUUUUACCCAAAGGUAUAAGAAACAAGACGCAAAAUAUUUACUAAUUGUAUUAAGUUUAGCAAUAUAGUAUCACAUGUUUAGAUACUUAAUAAAUUUUCAUAUUAGAAGACCAAAUUAUUGUGUGUAAUAUAUAUAAAAUUCUUUCUUGAUAAAUCAUAUUACUUAAUAUAUCAAUUGUUGUGAUUUGUACAAAAUAUAUUUAAUUUUUUUAAAAAUAACUAGCAUGUAUCUAGUGUAAAAUAUAAUAUCACGAUUUGUGAUACAAACAAAUUUGUUAUUUGGUAAUCAUUUUUGUAUCAUGUACAUAAUAAUUAUUUACAAAAUUCUAAUGAUAUGUAUCAAAAAUAUCAGAUACAUUAAUGUGAUAUUUUUAGUGAUAAAAUUUCAUUAAUGUAACUAUUAUCAUAGAUAUCUCAUACAAUAACGUCAUUAUUAUCAUACUUUUUGGAUAUAUAAUUUUCUGAAUUCCUAACUGAACUAAACAGAAAAUCAAAAUUGAAAAUAAACAAUUUUAACUCUUCCAAAUUUAAUACUAUAUUAUUGUAAGGGUAAUAAACACUCCAAUACACUAUUUGAUCUCCAAAAUACAAAUAAGCAUCAACAUAUGUCUGUGAACAGGAACACAGAAAACUAACUAGCCUACAUUAACAAGUUCAUUUUCAUCUGCUGAUUUUAAGUCAUUCUUCAAUCUUGGAGGAUCAUCAUUGUCGCUAACAUAUCCAAAAUUGGUCUUGUCGAGAUCAUACUUCCAUAACAACAACAUAUCUUUUGCGAAGAUAGUCACGUCAAAACUAUUAUCUCACAUGUUGAUUUCGUCAUUCAAAAAUUCCGCAAAUGCAGCUAACAUUUCACAAUCACUACAAAAACAAGAAGAUUAAUGAUAAGAAUGAAUUAGAUACAAAAAUAAUAGAGAAAAAAUGAUACAAUACUGACAGGCUAUCGCUUUUGAGAUAUCUUGAGCAAACUCCACAUCAAACGAAUAUUGCGGACCCAAAAGUUCUUCGAUUUUCUUGUCUUUAUAUGCGUUCAAAGCUGUCCAAUCAGUUCUCUCUGUCUUUUCAAAUAACCCACUACCAUAAAUAAUUGGAUACCCUUAUCCCCUAUUAACAAAGCUAAGUCUCUUGAGAUAUUCAAUUGUAAAUAGAGUCAAACUUAAAGGAAUGUUUUGCAUCUAUUUAACUACAUAAUUCAUAUUCUGCAAUUGAAAAAAAUGAUGUUGAUACUUAAUAUAAAUAAUAAGCUUUAAUAUAAUACAUAAAAAUGUAAAACUGUACUUGAUACAUAAUUCUAACUACAGAUUAUAAAUCAGUCAAAUUUAUACUUAAUAGAAAUAAUAAGCUUUAAUAUGAUACAUAAAAAUGUAAAUUGUAAUUGAUACAUAAUUCUAACUAUAAAUUAUAGAUCAGUCAAAUUGAUACUUAAUAGAAAUAAUAAGUUUUAAUAUGAUACAAAAAAAAAGUAAAAUUGUACUUGAUACAUAAUUGUAACUACAGAUUAUAAAUCAGUCAAAUUGAUAUUUAAUAGAAACAAUAAGCCAACUGAUGAAACAUUAUGUUGUUCUGAUACAUACAUGUAAUCCUCUAAUUUGAACUUUAAACUUUCAUACACUUUUCACAACAAAAAAAUGACCAAAUAUGCUUUAUCUAGUAAGAUGAAUGAUACAUAAAAUCAACAUUUUGUAAAUUAAUGAUAAAUAUCAACAGUUAUAACUUGUUUUUUUUUUUCAUUUUAACUUCUUGAUACAUUAGUCGUAAGAAUAAUCAAAAUAUACCAAAAUUUAGAGUUUUGUGUAUCAAAUGAAGAAUAAUAUAUAUAAAAAAAUUAUUUAGAAAAAUGUUUCUACUAUUACACAAAACUCAUUACAUGUGAAUACAAAAAUUACAAAAAAAAUAUACUGAUGGUGGUGCAGAUCUGGAAAUGGAGACGACAUUCUUUCUACCUCUCUUCUUGGGUGUUUUUGCAUGUUUUUUUUUUUAAUUUCUUGAAACUUUAGAAGAUUAUUGCAAGCUCUUAGACUCGUUUUCUGCCACUUUAGAUUCUUCACAAAUAGAGAUUUAAUUAGUGUUUAAUGUAACUAUUUGGGUAAUCGCAAUACUAAAUGACGGAUGAUCCAUGAAGUAUUAGAAAGAAAAAAAGAAAGAAAAAAAUUUGAAGAUGAAAAUUUAUCUAUUUCGAACUUUGAAAUUGGUUGAGGAGAAUAUGGGAGAGAGAGAACAAGUUUGAAAUUCAAAAUUAAGAAGAUGGAACGGUUGAAAAUAUGGCAGAGAAAAUUUAGGAGUGAAAAUUGGGUUUGCUUAUUGAAGGAUAAGAUUGUGAAGUAAAUAGAGGAGUAAAUUUAGGGGUGAAAUGUAAUGGUUUGGAAUUCUAAAAAAUAAUGUAUCGGUAGUUUUUGAUUUGGGGAGAAAUAGGGAUUUUUGUAUUUUUUAAAAAUAGUAGGGAAAUAUGGUGAAUAUAUAAACUAAAGGUGUAUAUUCUAGUAAUUAUUCCUUAUUUUUUUGAUUAAUAACCCAUGAAUUGAUAACGAGAAAUAUGGCAAACGGUAUUUUCAAUUAGGUUCAGGGUGGGUGUUUGGUAUUCGAUUGGUGAUUUUUAAAUUUUGGAUAUAAUAAUUUGAUAAUUGAUAGUUAAAAGUAGAUAUGAUAUAUAUUAUUAAAUUUUGAUACGAUAAUAAUUGAUAAUUAAAUUUUAAUUUAGUAUGGUAUUUGAUAAUAUUGUAUUAAAGUUGUAGAUGAUUCUAUUACAAAGUUACUACCAUUGCUCCAAUAAUUUUUAUUUUUUAUGUGGAGGUAUGAUACAAUGGAAGAUCAACAAGAAAAAAGACAUCAAAAAAUGUAAAUUGAUAUAUAGAAUUAUAUGAUGACAUGUAUUUGAAUUGUUUAUGUUUAGUAAUGAACUUCCUUUAAUGACUUGUACUAAUGAAUAAUGGACUUGUUGAUGAAUUUUAUGAAGUAAAUAAUUCAAUAUUCACAAUAUACCAAAUAUCAAGUGAUACUAAUGUCUUAUUCUAAAUUCAUACUUAAAUACCGUAGUUCUAAAGUUUUAUUCCUGAACAUUAUAUAAAAUUACUGAAUAUUUAAUAAAAAAUAAAUAAAAUAAAAUUGAUUCGAUUGACAAAUUCAGUUUUUGAUAUUUUAUAUAUAACCCUAAUUAGGGGUUCAUUAUUUGUUCACUAUAUCAAAAAUAAUCUUUAUCGACAAUUAAUCACUGUAAUGACUUAAUUGCCACUAAAUAUGAACUUUUAGCGGCAAUUGGCACUCUUGUAUAUGUUUAUAAAAAACUUUAGUGAUAUUGGAUCCAAUUACAGUUAACUAAUGUCAUUAAAAAUUUUAACCCUCUUUUUAAUGUAUAUAUUUAUUGCUGCUAAAAGGUAUUUUUAUUGUAGUAAUUUUGAAUUGACGCUAAAAAAUAUUUUGUUACAGUAAUUUCGAUCCGUACUCUUAUUUUCAGAUACUUAUGAUCAUCAUCCCUUCUUUCAAUUUUAUCCUCCGACAACCAGUUCGCGGAGGUCACCUCCGCCAACAACAAAGGUUGCCGGUUUUCUCUUCUCGUUGUAUCCUAGUUUUUUUGUAGUAGCUCUAUUAUGCCUACUUUUCUUGUAACUUUAUCAUUCAAAUUAUGAAUUGUGACAUUAUGUAACACUAAUUCGAUACUGCAAUGCAAUAUAUUUUCAAAUAACACGUAACAACCAUUCAAACAAAGUAGUACAAAAGAUACCUAUAGCAGCAUCUGGACACAAUUUUGUAAAAUGUUCUUGCUUUACUCUUUCAAAUCAUAUUCAAAUCAUUAUAUUCACAUUUUAGGGAAGAGAAAAAAACAACACAAACUCACAAGAACAGAAAAAAAAGAGAAGGAAAAAAAAAGGCAGAGAAACACAUUUUAUCGGUAAAUUGUUCUUCACAAAAAGUAACACUAUGAUUUAUUUUCAUGAUUAUAUAAGACAUGAUUUCAGUGCUAGUACAUAGUUUGCUCAAAAUUUAAUAUGUAUGCUUCAUUUUAAUAUUGUAAUUAAUAUUUAAAUAUGCUUCAAUUUUUUAUAUCGUUAAUUUUAUAACAAAAUUAAUAUAACAUGUGAUUAUUUCUUACACGUUUAAACACUAAUUUUUAUGUUAAGAUAAUGUAAGUUAAUAAAGCAGUUAUGCUAAAAUCAUUAGACUCGAAAGGUGAUUUAUACCUUCCCUUUGUCAAUAAAAUUUUUUGCCUGAUCUUUUUUAUAUUUAAUCGACCAAAAUAAAAAUAUCAUUUUCUUUAGAUUAAACAUUAAAAAAAUGAUUUGAAACAUUAAGACUUGAUUUCAAAUAACAAUUCUAAAUAAAUAAAAUAAUUUCUUUCCUAUAACGUCAUUUUAGUUGAAUUCGGAUUUCUUCUUCUUCUUUUUUUAAAGAUAUUUUUUUAUUUUCUUAAAAAAAGUUCUACUUCAUUUCACCUAAAAAAAUAAUUAAUAAAACAUUCUACCUCACCAAGAAAGCAAAAAGGUAAAGAGUAUCAAUGAGUGACAAAAGAAUAAUCAAAAAGCAAGAAAUUACUGUAUUUAAUAGUGUUAAUUAAUAUGUCAUUGCCAUUAUUAUUAAAAAAUAUCGUUAAGAAAAUGUUCUAAAAAAAAUUUAAAUGUAAACAGUUUGAUAGGUAAAACGCAAAAGCGUAGUAUAUACAUAAAGAUAGAACGGGGAAGUAGCAAAAUAAAAAAUGGCUACUACUCAAACAAUUGGAUGGAAACUUUGUUUUGAUUUGUAAACAUGACUUGAUAACAAGAUAUACGACAAACCUAAGUACUGAUGUAAUUAGGGGUUGAUGAUUUUGUUUGGAUUGAUUUUUAUCUAUCUAAUAAUAAUAAAAUUAAUUAACACAUAAACGCGUGUGUGAAAUUAUCUUUUGUAAAUAUUAUUUGAUUAAUUGGUUUUCUCUAACUAUUUUCAAUUAUAUCUUGUCUAAAAUUAAAAUUUAUGGGAAGUAUUUCAUCAUAAACACUGGUAAAAAUAUUAUUAGUUUAAAGUAUGUUAAAAGGUAUUGUCUUCUUUAAAAAUAUCUCAUCUAAUAUAAAUGUAUUUAUUAAAUUUAAUAAAUUUUUCGAUAUAAAAUUAGGAGUCAGAAAGUAAUAAAAAUUUAAAAUAAUAAAACUCAAUAUAAUAGGAUAAAGAACAAUAUAAAAAGAGAAUUUGCUCUCUUUCUCUCAUCUCACAAAUGAAGAAGACUAAUAAAUAUAAGAAAAAUUUAAUUAAAAUGUGUUAUUUUAAAAAUUAUUCUCUUUUACAUAUAAUUGAGUGUUUAUCAGGCUUUUAAUAUUAGCUUGUUUGGAUUAACUAUUUAAAAGUUGAUAAAAUUUAUUUUUAAGUUAUUAUUUUUAGUUUUUGAAAGUAUAUGACAAAGUUAAAAUAGCUUAAAUUAGUUUAAAAUGAUUUAAAAAGGCUAAAAGUUAAAAGUAGAUAUUCACCUACUUUUAUUUAUUAACUUAAGAAUUACUUAAUUUUAAUUUUUUAAAAGCUACUUUUUAAAGUUAAGUCAAGCAAACUUUUACACAGAUUAUAUAACUUCGAUAUUGUUAUCAGAUGCUACUAAAUUGAAAUGUUGUUGGAGGGGAUGAUUUUUGUAAACUGAUAUACCACAUGAAUCAGAGUGUGGGUUUAGUUUUAAAAGCAAAAGUUAUUUUCAUUAUGUAUAUUGUAUUAUAGAACAUAAAUGUUAGUAUAUGCUAAAAUUGAUGAGGUAUAAAAUAGAAGAAUAUAGCUGUGUUGUUCUUUUAUUUACCCAGAAUGCUCCUUGGGCAAUUAUCACUUAAUUUUUUCCCUCAUAUAUGAUAAGAAUUUCCAAAGAAAUAUUUUUUGACAUAUGAUUGAAUUGAAAUCGCAUAACAAAGUAAUAACAUAUUAAUUAAGGAAAGAUUAACCAAAAAAAAGUUUAAUAUGAAGAAAAUGAGAUACUAAAACAUAAAAGAAAGAUGAGAGAUAACUGAUGCUUUGUAUUUAACCAUGUAAAUUAACCAUUGAUAGCAACAAUAAGCUAGUUCAUGCUGUAUAUGGAUAUAAAGGCAAACUUUAAUGAAUCUCUAUAUAUUAUUUGCUUGUCUCAUUGCAUGGAAUGAAAAGGUAUGUGAUCGGAAUUAAAAACUAUUUGAGGAUAAUCGGAUAUAUCUAAGUAUUUAUUUAUUAAUAUACCGAGAUAAUAUCUAAAAAUUUAUAUUGCUAAAAAGAAAAUAUUUUUAUUAUUUAAUUAUUUUGUUAACAAAUUAAUUACGACGGUAGCGCAAAUCCAAAAAGUUUUUAGAGGUCACAAUGUUGCAUACCUCAUCUAGUCAUUAAACAAAAUCCACUUGCAAAAAAAAAAAACAUUUAUCAUCUACGAUUGACUAAUUGGAGGUGGCUCAGACCACUUUUCAACAUGCAUUCUAGCUUUUUUAGCCUGUGGAAAAAAAAAAUGCACAAUUGUAUCAUUUUUUAUAUUAAUAUAUUUAUAUUUCAUAAAAUAAAAUAAAAAAUAAAAAAUUUUAUAUUUGAUAUUAUUACUAUUAGUACCUCUUUCUCCCAAUCACAACGAUACGUUAUAAAAGCCAAUAUUAUAGUCUGCAAAGCUGUUCCUCCAAAAAUCAUUCCUGCCCACAUGCCCUACAAUUCCAUUUUUCACUUAUAACCCCAAUUAUUUUUCUUAACAUUUUUAUAAAUAUAUAUAAAUGAAUUUUUGUUUAAUGCAUUGACAAUUUACCAGAGUGUGUCCAAUCACAAACUAUUCUAUUCAACAUUAUGUAAUUCAAAUAAUUGUUUAUAAUAAACAUUAAUUUAUAACUAUAUGAUAAAAAUAAUAUGAACAGCAUACCUCAAGACCAGUGUGUAGAAUCAUACCCAUAAGAAUUCCAAGAGGGACUCCAACAAGGUAAUAACAACCUAGAUUAAUAUAAGCCACUUUUGAUUGCCAUCCUGAACCAACAGCAACCCCUGUAACAAACAAAAAUCUUUCGAUUAAUUUUGUUUUACCAGAUCCUCAACGUAUAUAAGUUAAACUCUUGUAUAAUAAAAUUAAAAACGUAAUAAUUACCGGAUAAAACAGGUUGAACACUGUUUAGAAGAAUGGUAAAUGCAAGAAGGUAAGAGAUCUUCUUAAAAGCUUUUAGGACAUCAAAGCUUGAUGAGAAAAUUAGAGCAAAUUUAUCUUCAUAUAUCAUUAUUAGUACACAAAAUAUUAGCCCUAUAAUGGUUGAUUGUAUCACUGAUACCGCUGUUGCGAAUUUUGCUGCCUUUCCUCUUCCAGCACCUAGCUCGUUCGCUACUCGCACUCUGAAAAAAUAAUUUAGCGACUUUCGUUUAAUAAAAUUAAAUUUCAAUAAUCAUACGUAAAGUAAACCUUAUAAAUAUCAAAAAAAAUAAAAAUAAAAGAAAGUAAAAAAGAAUCUGAGAUGUGGUUCAAUCUGUUUUUACAACACGUUGUUUUAGAAAUUAUUCGUUCUGACAUGGUAAAAAAAGUAAAAGUUGGUUUCUCUAUUUUUAAAAGGUGAAUUAACAAUGGAUUAAUAGAAAUCAUGCAUACAGUGGUAGGCGGUAGAAUAAAGUAAUUAAUGUGAUGUACUUGAUAAUUUGUGCCAUAACAUGUACGGAUUAAUCGAGGGGUGAUCUAAUUAGUAGUGAUAUAUUAAUCUGAUCAGUCCAAUAUUAUAUUUUUAGUAGAUAUCUAAUAUCUUUUCAUAUCAACAAAUAUUAAUUAAAACAUUAAUCAAAUAGAUUAAGUGAUUUUGUAGGUGAUAAAAUGUGAGUUCAUGAACUCACCAUUGCAACAAUGAAUCUAGACAGAAUUAAGAGAAAGAGGAAGAAGAAUAGUAUUGAACUUGUAUUUUUACAAUGAAGCUUCAUGCUAACUUAUAUAGCAUUCUAACUCAAUGUAUGACACAUUUCUCGAGGUAACUAAGUACACAUUAAUCGAGCUAACUAACUAGCUAAGUAACAAUUAACUAUACUAAGCUAAUUAACUGAAAAAUGGAAAGUUAUUGUAGCAACUAACUAAAUUAUUGUAGUAGCUAACUAACUUGACAUUAACUAACUUUAGGAUAUUAAAGCUAACAGAAUUGCAUAGUUUUCUACAUUCCCCCUAAAGCUGAAGGGCGCAAAAUGUUGAGCACACCAAGCUUGCUCAAAAGGUAUGAAUGUUGAGCUUGACUCAACCCCUUUGUUAGCAAAUAUGCUAGUUGUUGUUGAGUAUUAACAUGGACUGUAUCAAUAACUCUUGCUUUGAUCUUAUCUCUGAUGAAAUGGCAGUCAAUUUCAAUGUGUUUUGUCCUCUCGUGAAAAACUGGAUUUGCUGCUAGUUGUAUAGCAGAUUUGCUAUCACGGAACACAAGAAUUAGCAUCUAGAUUUCCACAUAGCUUAGUAAACAACCCCAACAACCAAGUGAUUUCAGACACAGCUGGUACCAUGCUUCUAUAUUCAGCUUCAGCUGAGCUUCUGAAAACAGUCUGCUGUUUCUUUGAUUCCCAUGACACAAGUGAUUCUCCAAACUUAACCACAUAACAUGUAAUAGACCUCGUGGUAUUAGGACGAGCAACCCAAUCAAAAUCACACCAACAUGAUAACACAUUAGCAGGUUUAGAUUGUAACCAGAUUCCUUGACCAACUAUUCCUUUAAGAUACUUAAUCACUCUUAUUGAUGCAUCCCAAUGUGACCUCUUGGGAGAUUGCAUAAAUUGACUCAAGACUUGUACUGCAUAGCGGAUAUCUGGUCUGGUAAUAGUACCGUAUAAGAGCUUUCCAACCACCAUUUGGUAAUCUGUAAUGUCUUGUAGUACAAUAUCUCCAAUAUGGCCAUUAUCCAGAUCAUAUUCUAUUGAUGUCAAUCUAAGAUUUAACUCAAUGGGGGUAGAAGAAGGUUUAACACCUGUUAGACCUGUUUUGGAAAAGUUUUAACACAUAUUUUGUUUGAUUCAAAAGUACUCCUUCUGCUGAUCUCAACACUUUAAUGCCAAGAAAAUACCUGAGUUCACCAAGGCCUUUUAACUUGAAAUGCUUAUGCAAAUUUUCCUUUGCUUCAUUGAUCAUUUUAGUAUUACUUCCAGUAAUCAGCAAAUCAUCAACAUAAACUAGAAUAACUACGUUGUCUGCAUCUUUCUUCAAGGUGAAUAAGGAAUAAUCAUGACCAUUUUGAGUAAAACCAGCUGCCACUAAGGCAUUAGUCAACUUCAAAUUUCAACGUCUAGAUGUCUGUUUAAGCCCAUAUAGAGACUUAAGUAACUUGCACACCUUAUUUUCUCCUGUUUUUUUAAAUCCUUCAGGCAUCUCCAUGUAGACUUUCUCCUCAAGAUCACCUUGAAGGAAGGCAUUAUAAACAUCCAUUUGGUAUAUAGGCCACCCUUUUGAGACAGCUAAGGCAAUCACACAUCUAGUUGUUACCAUUUUAGCAACUAGUGAGAAUGUAUCAUGAUAGUCUAAUCCUUCGUGCUGACUGUACCCUUUAGCUACCAACCUAGCUUUGAAUCUUUCAACUUCACCAUCUGCUUUGUAUUUUAUCUUGUAAAUCCACUUAGAGCCCACAUUGUACAUUCCUUUAGGUAAAUCAACUACUGACCAUGUAUUGUUUUCUUCUAAAGCCUUGAUCUCCUGUUGCAUAGCCUGGAUCAAUCUAUCAUCCUUGACAGCCUGGUGAAAAUGUUUAGGUUUAAUGCGUUCAGAGAAUUUGCUUACAGAUAUCUUGUAACAAGAUGUAACUCUGUCAUAGCUGAGAGAAUUAGUUAUUGGAUGCCUGGUGCUACUUUGUUUCCUCCCUGCAUAAUCUUACCUCCAAACUGGUCCCUUGACAAUCCUUGAAGUCCUUCUGACACUUGUAGUAGGCACUCUAACAAUCUCAGUGAAAAUAGGAAUAUUAGUUGUACUGUCAUCAUGGUCUGUGUUUGCAGCUCCACCCUUAUCAUGAAGAACUUCUAUGUCUACAUCAUCAUUAGUAUUCACAUCAUUAUCAUCAUUAGUAUGAUGAACUUCUGUGUCUGUAGUAACAUCAAGAUCACAAUCCAUCAUGGAACUGUCAGCAACAUCUAAUGGAGAACCACAUACAUCUAUUAAUGUAUUUGUAUACACUUCCUUUGUAGAAAAAGGAAAGAUAGUUUCAUGAAAAACUACAUCUCUGCUCACAAGAAACUUCUUGGACUUUAUAUCCAACAAUACAUAACCUUUCUGUAACUCUAAGUAUACUAGAAAUAUGGUAGGAAUAGCUCUUUUUGCAAAUAUAUCACUCUUAGGCACCACUGUAGCAUAGCACAAACAACCUAUAACAUUUAGAUGACCAAGUGAAUUUUAGAAUAGAGAAGUUCAUAGGGACUUUUGUUUGAGAUACUUGAAGAAGGUAAUUUGUUCAUCAAAUAUACAGCAGCCUUGAUACAAUAUCCCUAAUAUGUAAUUGUGAUUGAAACCUGGUAGCUCUAGCUAUGUUAAGAAUUUUCCUAUGUUUCCUUUCUACCACACCAUUUUGUUGUGGUGUAUGUGGACAACUGCUUUGAUGAAGUAUUCCUAGUUCAUAAAACAAUUUAAUACAUUGAGAGUUGAAGAACUCAUUACCAUUAUCUAAUAUCACAACUUUAACAUGUGCACCAAAUUAAGUCUUGAUCAUAGAGAAGAACAAUUUUAUGGCUGCAAGAGUUUCAGACUUUAAUUGCAACAAGUAAACCCAAACAAAUCUAUUGUAGUCAUCAACUAUAGUUAAAAAAUAGUGCUUCUUGUCUAGAGUAGGAGUCUUAUAUGUUCCCCAUAAAUUCAUAUGAACCAAGUCAAAACUAGUAGAAGCCCUAGAAUUGCUACUAGGAAAUACUUGCCUUAUUUGCUUAGCUAAUGGACAAACAUGACAACUAACAAGUAUAUCAUUCUUAUUGCUAGAAAGUAGAUUUAAAUGUUUCAUGAUAAAGUAAGAAGGAUUCCCAAGUCUUUGAUAACAAAGUUGAGUAUCUUGUCUUGCUAUUCCUGCAUCCAUCACUUGUUGCUUACAUUUGUCUAUUUUAUUCAAUGUUGAGCCACUCUUGAACAUGUAUAGACCUCCACUGAAGAGGUCCUGGUAAACACAGAAGUUAGGAUAAAAUGAUACAAAGCAAGAUAGUUCCCUUAUUAUAUUGGAUACUAACAGCAAAUUGAACUUGAAGUCUGGUACAUGCAGUACAUUUCUCACAAUAUCGUCAUCAAAUAUAGUUGAUUCACCAAUGUGAUUCACAUUUACUCUAUCCCCUGUGGGUAAAUGUACCUACUUACUCAAUUCAUGACUCUUAAACAGUGACUGCUUAUGUGUUGUGAUAUGAUGAGUUGCACCAUAAUCUACAAUCCAGUCUUGUGAGGAAAUUUUUUUUUUGACAUUAAACAAGUUGUAAUACCUGCCAUGUUAACUCUCUUAAGCUACUCUUUGUUCAGCAUCUCCAAAAUUUGUUUAUAUUCCUUCUCUGUGAAUACUUGUGCCUCUGUCAAACCUGUGUCAUCUCCUGCACUUUGACUAGUUGAAGCUAGUUGAGACUGAUCAUAUGAACUGUUUGAAUCACCAGUCACAUUGUUGGCUAUAUCUUGACCUCCAUAACCAGCACCAAAGCCACCACUAGUGUUCUUAUUACCAUAAAUUGUUUUCUUUCUGAACUUCCAAUCACUUGGAUAACCAAUUAGCUUAUAGAAAUUAUCCUUAAUGUGACCAGUAAAGUGACAGUACUCACACUUCUUACCCUUAAAAUAUUCCUUCCCUUGAUUUCACAUUCAUCACCAUUGAGUUUGGCUUAUCAAUUACAUUGAUUGUGCAUGUUGAACGUUGAAUUUCAUUCUCUAUGAUCAUGGCAUAUGCUUGAUUUAAAGAAGGUGUAACUCCUUUAAACAAUAUAUGUCUAUAAGGUUAAUCAUAUGAUUCAUUUAAGCCACUUAGAAACUGAAUUAGCCUCAAUUUUUGAAGGUGAUCUACAUACUCCUUAGUCUGUGGACAUGUGCAACUAGGAUGUGGUGUCACAACAUCAUAUUCACUCCAUAAAGUCUUGAGCUUAGUGAAAUAGUAAGACACAUAAUCAGUACCUUUUGUGAGUGUAGUGAUCUCCUUGUGCAACUGGUAAAUUCUCAUGCGAUGGAUCUUAUCAAAACUUUCCUUGAGAUCUGCCCAAACUGAGAAUGCAGUUGUGGCAUAAACUAUACCACUGAGAAUCUCCUCACUCACAGUGUUCAUCAACCAUGACAAGACUAUGACAAUACAUGUUUCCUACUGUCGUGUAGCUCAUUUUGGUACAACGCUUUGGUGCAGGCACCAGUUAGAAAACCAUAUUUCCUUUUCCCUAAAAGUGCAAUCCUCAUGGAUCUGCUCCAAACACCAUAGUUCUCAGAGCCAGUCAGCUUGAUAGGUAUCAUCAUAGCUCCUAAUGAGUCAGAUAUGUCCAAUAUACAGAGGAUCACUUUGAUCAAUUCUUAAAAAAGCCAUUAUCGAGCUUAUAAAUCAAAUCAACACAAAAUGAACUAGCUAGUUGAGAUAUGAACUCUCCAAGAAGAAGAAAAGCAACCUCACAACCAAUCAAUCAACACAAAAACCAAUUAGCUAGAUGAGAUCUAAACUCUUCCAGCAGAAAAAAAAAUCACAAACUUUAACAGCUAGAGGAGAUCUAAACUCCACUAGAUUCCUGCACUAAAAAUCCAGCAUCUCCUGCUCUGAUACCAUGAUAAAAUGUGAGUUCAUGAAUUCACCAUUGCAAUAAUGAAUCUAGACAGAAUUAAGAGAAAGAGGAAGAAGAAUUGUAUUGAACUUGUGAAGUGAAAAAUGAUCUAUUUUUACAAUGAAGCCUCAUGCUAACUUAUAUAGCAUUCUAACUCAAUGUAUGACACAUUUCUCGAGGUAACUAAGUACACAUUAAUCGAGGCAACUAACUAGCUAAGUAACGAUUAACUACACUAAGCUAAUUAACUGAAAAAUGGAAAGUUACUGUAGCAGCUAACUAAAUUACUGUAGCGGCUAACUAACUUGACAUUAACUAACUUUAGGACACUAAAGCUAACAUAAUUGCAUAAAUUUCAACAGUAGGCAAUUAAAGAUUUCAUAUUUGAGUGAUUUUUUGAUUAAAAACAAAGUUAACGGACUUUUUUUGGAGAAAAAAAAUCCGUAUAUAAAUGAUUGUUGAGUAACGUUAUGGGAGGACGAUUUAUUUAUGUAAUUGACUUUCUAACAGCAAAUUUAUAGUCAAGUGAUCAUAUGAAAUAUUAUCUUCAAUUAUAAAUAUUCAUAUUAUAUGACGUUUGUGAUUACUAUAUUAAGUUUGUAACAAUACUACAAUCUCAACUUCAGUACGUAGUAGAUAUAUAAUAUAUGCUUAUAAGUGUGAAAUGAAAGGAUAGGUAUAAGGUUUAAUUUUAAUUUAUCCUAUGCAAUUCAAUAAAGACAAGAAAGAAACUUAUUACACUUAAUAAUAUGUUGUCUGUUUGUAUCUUUUAUGUUCAAUUGAUAGAUAUGAACAUUGAAACAUUAAAAUACAAGAACGUGAAUCACUGAGUUUAUCAGUUCAAAUUAAUUUUAAUUUGAAUAUAUUAGUAUUACAUUAAGAUCCAAAAGAAACACAAAUGCUGAGACUGACAAUUAUCAGUUUGCAACUAUGCCUUUGUAUAUUUUAUUUAUGACCACAAAUCAAAUGGUACAAAGAGACAACAACAUCAUUUUCUUAAAUGUCGUUUUGUGUCAAUUGUUACGCAUCACAAGUUCACAACACGUAACAACUUCAAUAAAAAAGUUAUCCCCUCUCUAAUCGUAUAUGCUUAUUAAGCAUGUUUUCAGAUAUAAUAUUUUAAAUUCUUUUAAGAUUAAACAUCCAAUUAAAAGAUUGUUAGAGUAUAGUACAUUAUAAUAAUUGCAAUGGUUAAAUGUCUAAGUGAGAAAUUAUUGAGAUGUAUAUUAUUAAAUAUAUGAUAAAACAUAGUAUAUAGUAUAAUGGAUCAUAUAUUUGUUUAUGAUAUCUGUUAACUUAUAUAGUAGAUGGUUUAGUGUAUACAAAUUUAGUUUGUGCUAAGAGGAUUAAAUCAUCAUUUUUUUAAGUAUGGAGUUUUUUUUCUUCACAAUCUAAAACAGAAAUUGGACAUGUCAUCGCUAUAAGAUUAUAUAUACUUUACUUUGAUUAGAGUUUAGACUGACUGGCAAAAACAUAUUUCUUAAAUAGUUAAAUGUACUAUAUUCUCAAUCCUAAUGUAACUAUUAUGACAUGUAUAUAUUAAUUGUCGUAUUGAUUUAUUAUAAGGAAAGAUUCUAAUAUGAGUUGAUAUGUCUGGUAGAAUCAAUGAUAAUAAUAUAUAUUGGUAAAAUAAUAAGUUGAUUGAUUCAUCCCUUGAUGUAGAGAUCGAUGAUAUGUCCUUUUGAAAAACUAAUAAGUUUUCACUGUGUUAAAUCUUGCAGGUAGAUUUAUAAGUUCGACACAUAAAAUAAAUUAAGGAGUGUUAGCUCGCCCCGCAUUGCCGUAUUUCCAUCCUAUACUUAUUUUGAUGAAAUUAUAUCUUAUGACUAUCACGUGUUUGGGUAUUUGCUUUUAAGGCUACCUAAUUUUAGUUUGAAGCGUGUAAGACUCUUUAAUAGAGAGAGUUAUUUUUAUAUCUCUAAAAUUGACUUUUUUUUAAUACAUAUUAGAUUUCCUUUUUAUACUCAUUUUCAAUACAUUUUUUAGACAUGUUAAUUGUAUUAAACUCAAAUAUCUUAUUACCAAUCUGGCCAGAGAUUAUAGAUGACUUAAAAUGAGAAUAAGAAAAUAUAUCAUUUUAUUUAUAUUUAUUAUACAUAUAAAAGAAAAGAGGUGUAUUAAUUACCCGGUGGCAGCGAAAAACGCAAGCGGUAUCAUCAUCUCCCAACCAUUAAUAUUCAUGCUGCAAUAAAGGGAAACAAAAAUAAAGAAGUAUUGCUCAAUACUUAGAUUGUUAAGUUUAGCUCAAUAAUUAUUCUUUCUCUAACAUCAUUUAAUUCGACGCAAGAAAAAUUUAAAAGAAAAUAUUAUAGUCUAAAAAUAAAUUCAAUUAUUUUUAAAAAUGUGACACGACUAAUGACAUACCAGAUGGACAACGCAUCAAGGGCCAACGUCGCGUUCUCCAAAUAUCCUGUCAUCAACAUCAAUAUCCGAUAGUACCAGUUCUCCAAGCUACAAAAAUUUCCAAAUUAAAUAAUAAUAUCAUUUUUUUUUUACUUUUAAUUUUCCAUUUCGUAAUUUAAAAUUCCGAUAGUUAUGAAUUACUUUGAGAGUGAUUUCUGAUAAAUCCAUUUUUUUAUUUUAUGUUUACCAAAGCAUAACACCAGCAGCAGCGGAAAGUCGAAAAAAUUCGCAAAGUCCCGAAAAUGCUUGUGCUGAGAAGCCAGUCCACGUUUCUGGGCACCCACCGCAUGCGGCGUACAUAAACAUUCCAACAACCAGCAACCACCACGAUAUGUCUAGUGCUACGGCGGCUCCCACUAACCCCAAAUUCAGUUUGUACACAAACAACCAACUGAUCACCGUGUGAAUCGCCAGCACCGCCAGUGAAAUCC